AGGACGAACGCUGGCGGCGCGCCUAAAACAUGCAAGUCGAACGAGAAGCCCGGGCUUGCCCGGGUGGACAGUGGCGAACGGGUGAGUAACACGUGAGGAACCUGCCCCGAAGACCGGGACAACACCGGGAAACCGGUGCUAAUACCGGAUACCUUCACCGGAUCGCAUGGUCUGGUGAAGAAAUGGAUUCCGCUUCGGGAUGGCCUCGCGGCCUAUCAGCUAGUUGGUGAGGUAACGGCUCACCAAGGCGACGACGGGUAGCUGGUCUGAGAGGAUGUCCAGCCACACUGGGACUGAGACACGGCCCAGACUCCUACGGGAGGCAGCAGUUAGGAAUCUUGCGCAAUGGACGAAAGUCUGACGCAGCGACGCCGCGUGCGGGAUGAAGGCCUUCGGGUGUAAACCGCUUUCAGCAGGGACGAAAUUGACGGUACCUGCAGAGAAGCCCGGCAACUACGUGCCAGCAGCCGC
rnacentral:rRNA from 1 species